rnacentral:rRNA from 1 species
GUGGGGAAUAUUGCGCAAUGGGGGAAACCCUGACGCAGCGACGCCGCGUGAGCGAAGAAGGCCUUAGGGUUGUAAAGCUCUGUUUUAAGGGACGAAUGUCGUGGGGAGUAAUAUGCUCUGCGAAUGACGGUACCUUAAGAGGAAGCCCCGGCUAACUACGUGCCAGCAGCCGCGGUAAGACGUAGGGGGCGAGCGUUGUCCGGAAUUACUGGGCGUAAAGAGCACGUAGGCGGGAACUUAAGUCAGGUGUGACAGACCGGGGCUCAACUCCGGGGUUGCACUUGAAACUGGGUUUCUUGAGGGCAGGAGAGGAAAGCAGAAUUCCUGGUGUAGCGGUGAAAUGCGUAGAAAUCAGGAGGAAUACCAGUGGCGAAGGCGGCUUUCUGGACUGACCCUGACGCUGAGGUGCGAAAGCGUGGGUAGCAAACAGGAUUAGAAACCCGAGUAGUCC